rnacentral:rRNA from 1 species
GGGCCCGCACAAGCGGUGGAGUAUGUGGCUCAAUUCGAUGCAACGCGAAGAACCUUACCAGGCCUUGACAUGCAUUAGACCGGCGCUGAAAGGCGCCUUCCCUUCGGGGCUGGUGCACAGGUGCUGCAUGGCUGUCGUCAGCUCGUGUCGUGAGAUGUUGCGUUAAGUCGCGCAACGAGCGCAACCCCUGUCCUUAGUUGCCAUCAUUCAGUUGGGCACUCUAGGGAGACAAACCCUCUUUGAGGGUGGGAAGGUGGGGAUGACGUCAAGUCAGGAUGGCCCUUACGGCCUGGGCUGCACACGUACUACAAUGCCCGGUACAGAGGGAAGCAAUACCGCGAGGUGGAGCAAAUCCUCAAAACCGGGCCCAGUUCAGAUUGUAGUCUGCAACUCGACUACAUGAAGUUGGAAUCGCUAGUAAUGGCGCAUCAGCUACGGCGCCGUGAAUACGUUCCCGGGCCUU